UCCAGACUCCUACGGGAGGCAGCAGUGAGGAAUAUUGGUCAAUGGGCUUACGCCUGAACCAGCCAAGUCGCGUGAGGGAGUACUGCCCUAUGGGUUGUAAACCUCUUUUGUCGGGGAGCAAAAGCCGGACGUGUCCGGCUGUGAGAGUACCCGAAGAAAAAGCAUCGGCUAACUCCGUGCCAGCAGCCGCGGUAAUACGGAGGAUGCGAGCGUUAUCCGGAUUUAUUGGGUUUAAAGGGUGCGCAGGCGGCUUUUUAGGUCGGCGGUCAAGUCGUGGGGCCCACCCCCUCCCCGCCGUUGAAACUGGGGAUCUAGAGUGUGCGAGAGGUAUGCGGAAUGCGUGGUGUAGCGGUGAAAUGCAUAGAUAUCACGCAGAACCCCGAUUGCGAAGGCAGCAUACCGGUGCACAACUGACGCUCAGGCACGAAAGCGUGGGUAUCGAACAGGAUUAGAUACCCUAGUAC
rnacentral:rRNA from 1 species